rnacentral:misc_RNA from 1 species
GAUGAAGAACGUAGCAAACUGCGAUAAGUAAUGUGAAUUGCAGAAUUCAGUGAAUCAUCGAAUCUUUGAACGCACAUUGCGCCCCCUGGUAUUCCGGGGGGCAUGCCUGUUCGAGCGUCAUUUCACCACUCAAGCCUCGCUUGGUAUUGGGCAACGCGGUCCGCCGCGUGCCUCAAAUCGACCGGCUGGGUCUUCUGUCCCCUAAGCGUUGUGGAAACUAUUCGCUAAAGGGUGUUCGGGAGGCUACGCCGUAAAACAACCCCAUUUCUAAGGUUGACCUCGGAUCAGGUAGGGAUACCCGCUGAACUUAAGCAUAUCAAUAAGCGGAGGA